rnacentral:rRNA from 1 species
AUACGAAGGGUGCAAGCGUUAAUCGGAAUUACUGGGCGUAAAGCGCGCGUAGGCGGUUGGAUAAGUCGGAUGUGAAAGCCCCGGGCUCAACCUGGGAACUGCAUUCGAAACUGUCCGGCUAGAGUAUGGUAGAGAGAAGCGGAAUUCCACAUGUAGCGGUGAAAUGCGUAGAUAUGUGGAGGAACACCAGUGGCGAAGGCGGCUUCCUGGACCAAUACUGACGCUGAGGUGCGAAAGCGUGGGGAGCAAACAGGAUUAGAAACCCUAGUAGUCC